UGCUUCGGCGAAAGGGACGCUCUCUUUCYCAAGGACCAUGACGGGGAAAAGACCCAUACCAAACACCACCCCUCCCGCCCGCAGCGCCCGCUCACCCGCGCGAGUGAACAUCUCCAACUUGGCUGGGUUCCCGGCCCUUUCCUGGCCCUACGCUCGGCGCAACACAACCGCAGACAUGAGACGGCCCCCGCCGGGACGGCAAUCCCAGUGCGAGGGCCUGACCACCGAGGAAGUAGAGGCCUUCCCG
rnacentral:ncRNA from 1 species